rnacentral:rRNA from 1 species
AGAGUUUGAUCCUGGCUCAGAUUGAACGCUGGCGGCAGGCCUAACACAUGCAAGUCGAGCGCGAAAGGUCUUCGGAUUGAGUAGAGCGGCGGACGGGUGAGUAACGCGUAGGAAUCUACCUGGUAGUGGGGGACAACCUGGUGAAAACCAGGCUAAUACCGCAUACGCCCCAAGGGGGAAAGCGUGGGAUCUUCGGACCAUGCGCUAUCAGAUGAGCCUGCGUUGGAUUAGCUAGUUGGUGGGGUAAAGGCCCACCAAGGCGACGAUCCAUAGCUGGUCUGAGAGGACGAUCAGCCACACUGGGACUGAGACACGGCCCAGACUCCUACGGGAGGCAGCAGUGGGGAAUAUUGCGCAAUGGGGGAAACCCUGACGCAGCCAUACCGCGUGUGUGAAGAAGGCCUUAGGGUUGUAAAGCACUUUCAAUUGGGAGGAAAGGUUCACGUUUAAUAGGCGUGAGCUGUGACGUUACCUUUAGAAGAAGCACCGGCUAACUCCGUGCCAGCAGCCGCGGUAAUACGAGGGGUGCAAGCGUUAAUCGGAAUUACUGGGCGUAAAGCGCGCGUAGGCGGUUAGUUAAGUUAGAUGUGAAAGCCCCGGGCUUAACCUGGGAACUGCAUUUAAAACUGGCUAACUAGAGUAUGGUAGAGGAGAGUGGAAUUUCAGGUGUAGCGGUGAAAUGCGUAGAUAUCUGAAGGAACACCAGUGGCGAAGGCGGCUCUCUGGACCAAUACUGACGCUGAGGUGCGAAAGCGUGGGUAGCAAACAGGAUUAGAUACCCUGGUAGUCCACGCCGUAAACGAUGUCAACUAACUGUUGGGCGGGUUUCCGCUUAGUGUAUCGUAGCUAACGCGAUAAGUUCUCCGCCUGGGGAGUACGGCCGCAAGGUUAAAACUCAAAUGAAUUGACGGGGGCCCGCACAAGCGGUGGAGCAUGUGGUUUAAUUCGAUGCAACGCGAAGAACCUUACCUACCCUUGACAUACAGAGAACUUUCCAGAGAUGGAAUUGUGCCUUCGGGAGCUCUGUGACAGGUGCUGCAUGGCUGUCGUCAGCUCGUGUUGUGAAAUGUUGGGUUAAGUCCCGUAACGAGCGCAACCCCUAUCCUUAGUUACCAGCGGUUCGGCCGGGAACUCUAGGGAGACUGCCGGUGACAAACCGGAGGAAGGUGGGGACGACGUCAAGUCAUCAUGGCCCUUACGGAUUGGGCUACACACGUGCUACAAUGGGGUAUACAGAGGGUUGCGAAGCCGCGAGGUGGAGCUAAUCCCAGAAAGUAUCUCGUAGUCCGGAUUGGAGUCUGCAACUCGACUCCAUGAAGUCGGAAUCGCUAGUAAUAGAGGAUCCGAAUGCCGAGGUCCAUACGUUCCCGGGCCUUCUACACACCGCCCGUCACACCAUGGGAGUGGGAUGCACCAGAAGUGGGUAGACUAACCUUCGGGAGGUCGCUCACCACGGUGUGGUCAAUGACUGGGGUGAAGUCGUAACAAGGUA